GGGAAGGACCCCAACCCUUGGGCUAUGAGGCCUUUUUGCUGCUCAUUAUUAAGGAAGCAAUAGCCCCCUACUCCAAACCCCCAUCCCCCAUGAGGUAUCAUCAGAGCCUGGAACACAACAGCAAUAUGACAGAGCAGAAACACGGAUCUAGCUCUGUUCUUCCAGUUCAGCACUAUCCUCUCAUCUUCUGGUAUGAAAUGAGUAGAGGCUGGAGUCCAAGCCUGGAAGCUAUGUGAUAU
rnacentral:lncRNA from 1 species